rnacentral:tRNA from 1 species
GCCCAGGUGGCGGAAUUGGUAGACGCGCUAGCUUCAGGUGCUAGUGAGCUAACGCUCGUGGAGGUUCAAGUCCUCUCCUGGGCACCA